GGACGCCCACGUGGAAUGAGAGGGCAUCAGAUCCUCGAGCUGAUAAAAUUGAAUUAGCAAGACAGCGAAGGAAGGCAGAAAGAUCUUUAUUAAAUUUACAACAGCGAUUGGUGUGCAAUGGUUCAGCAGUGGCAUCAACUUCUAGGCAGCCAGAUGAUGUUGGUAUCACUUCAAGUGCUAGUAAAAGUGAAAACCCAUUUCUUGCAAAACCUUUUCAAGCUGGUGAGAAAGACGUGGACCCAGUGGCUCUUCCAACUAAACUUUCUAGUGAGGUAGAUGAUAAAAACCACGUUUCUUUGCUGGAAACGUUCUCCCCAGCAAUUCA
rnacentral:misc_RNA from 1 species